rnacentral:rRNA from 1 species
UGGAUCCAGACUUUGAUUAUGGCUCAGGACGAACGCUGGCGGCGUGCUUAACACAUGCAAGUCGAACGAGAAUCUACUGAAAGAGUUUUCGGACGAUGGAAGUAGAGGAAAGUGGCGGACGGGUGAGUAACGCGUGGGGAACCUGCCUUGAAGAGGGGGACAACAGUUGGAAACGACUGCUAAUACCGCAUGAAGCAUAGGGGUCGCAUGAUUCUUAUGCCAAAGAUUUAUCGCUUCAAGAUGGCCUCGCGUCUGAUUAGCUAGUUGGCGGGGUAACGGCCCACCAAGGCGACGAUCAGUAGCCGGACUGAGAGGUUGAACGGCCACAUUGGGACUGAGAUACGGCCCAGACUCCUACGGGAGGCAGCAGUGGGGAAUAUUGGGCAAUGGGCGCAAGCCUGACCCAGCAACGCCGCGUGAAGGAAGAAGGCUUUCGGGUUGUAAACUUCUUUUAAGAGGGAAGAGCAGAAGACGGUACCUCUAGAAUAAGCCACGGCUAACUACGUGCCAGCAGCCGCGGUAAUACGUAGGUGGCAAGCGUUGUCCGGAUUUACUGGGUGUAAAGGGCGUGCAGCCGGGUCUGCAAGUCAGAUGUGAAAUCCAUGGGCUCAACCCAUGAACUGCAUUUGAAACUGUAGAUCUUGAGUGUCGGAGGGGCAAUCGGAAUUCCUAGUGUAGCGGUGAAAUGCGUAGAUAUUAGGAGGAACACCAGUGGCGAAGGCGGAUUGCUGGACGAUAACUGACGGUGAGGCGCGAAAGUGUGGGGAGCAAACAGGAUUAGAUACCCUGGUAGUCCACACUGUAAACGAUGAAUACUAGGUGUGCGGGGACUGACCCCCUGCGUGCCGCAGUAAACACAAUAAGUAUUCCACCUGGGGAGUACGAUCGCAAGGUUGCAACUCAAAUGAAUUGACGGA